AGAGUUUGAUCCUGGCUCAGGAUGAACGCUAGCUACAGGCUUAACACAUGCAAGUCGAGGGGCAGCAUUUUAGUUUGCUUGCAAACUAAAGAUGGCGACCGGCGCACGGGUGAGUAACACGUAUCCAACCUGCCGAUAACUCGGGGAUAGCCUUUCGAAAGAAAGAUUAAUAUCCGAUGGUAUAUUAAAACCGCAUGGUUUUACUAUUAAAGAAUUUCGGUUAUCGAUGGGGAUGCGUUCCAUUAGUUUGUUGGCGGGGUAACGGCCCACCAAGACUACGAUGGAUAGGGGUUCUGAGAGGAAGGUCCCCCACAUUGGAACUGAGACACGGUCCAAACUCCUACGGGAGGCAGCAGUGAGGAAUAUUGGUCAAUGGACGAGAGUCUGAACCAGCCAAGUAGCGUGAAGGAUGACUGCCCUAUGGGUUGUAAACUUCUUUUAUAUGGGAAUAAAGUAUUCCACGUGUGGGAUUUUGUAUGUACCAUAUGAAUAAGGAUCGGCUAACUCCGUGCCAGCAGCCGCGGUAAUACGGAGGAUCCGAGCGUUAUCCGGAUUUAUUGGGUUUAAAGGGAGCGUAGGUGGAUUGUUAAGUCAGUUGUGAAAGUUUGCGGCUCAACCGUAAAAUUGCAGUUGAAACUGGCAGUCUUGAGUACAGUAGAGGUGGGCGGAAUUCGUGGUGUAGCGGUGAAAUGCUUAGAUAUCACGAAGAACUCCGAUUGCGAAGGCAGCUCACUAGACUGUCACUGACACUGAUGCUCGAAAGUGUGGGUAUCAAACAGGAUUAGAUACCCUGGUAGUCCACACAGUAAACGAUGAAUACUCGCUGUUUGCGAUAUACAGUAAGCGGCCAAGCGAAAGCAUUAAGUAUUCCACCUGGGGAGUACGCCGGCAACGGUGAAACUCAAAGGAAUUGACGGGGGCCCGCACAAGCGGAGGAACAUGUGGUUUAAUUCGAUGAUACGCGAGGAACCUUACCCGGGCUUAAAUUGCAACAGAAUAUAUUGGAAACAGUAUAGCCGUAAGGCUGUUGUGAAGGUGCUGCAUGGUUGUCGUCAGCUCGUGCCGUGAGGUGUCGGCUUAAGUGCCAUAACGAGCGCAACCCUUAUCUUUAGUUACUAACAGGUCAUGCUGAGGACUCUAGAGAGACUGCCGUCGUAAGAUGUGAGGAAGGUGGGGAUGACGUCAAAUCAGCACGGCCCUUACGUCCGGGGCUACACACGUGUUACAAUGGGGGGUACAGAAGGCGGCUACCUGGUGACAGGAUGCUAAUCCCAAAAACCUCUCUCAGUUCGGAUCGAAGUCUGCAACCCGACUUCGUGAAGCUGGAUUCGCUAGUAAUCGCGCAUCAGCCAUGGCGCGGUGAAUACGUUCCCGGGCCUUGCACACACCGCCCGUCA
rnacentral:rRNA from 1 species